rnacentral:rRNA from 1 species
CCUACGGGGGGCAGCAGUGAGGAAUCUUGCGCAAUGGGGGAAACCCUGACGCAGCAACGCCGUGUGAGUGAUGAAGGCUUUCGGGUCGUAAAGCUCUGUCAAGUGGGAAGAAUCUGCCUGGUGUUAAUACCAUCAGGCACUGACGGUACCACUGGAGGAAGCACCGGCUAACUCCGUGCCAGCAGCCGCGGUAA